CAUAUGCUUGUCUCAAAGAUUAAGCCAUGCAUGUCUAAGUAUAAACAACUUUAUACUGUGAAACUGCAGAUGGCUCAUUAAAUCAGUUAUAAUUUCUUUGAUGGUUGCCUUACUACAUGGAUACCCGUAGUAAUUCUAGAGCUAAUACAUGCGCCAAGUCCUAACUCUCGCGGGGAGGGAUGUAUUUAUUAGGUAAAAAACCAAUACGCUUCGGCGUUUCCCUGGUGAUUCAUAAUAACUAGUCGAACCGCAUGGCCUCGCGCCGGCGGUAGAUCAUUCAAAUUUCUGCCCUAUCAGCUUUCGACGGUAGUGUAGUGGACUACCGUGGCAUUAACGGGUGACGGAGAAUUAGGGUUCGAUUCCGGAGAGGGAGCCUGAGAAACGGCUACCACAUCCAAGGAAGGCAGCAGGCGCGCAAAUUACCCAAUCCUGACACAGGGAGGUAGUGACAAGAAAUAACGAUACCGGGCUUUUUUGGUCUGGUAAUUGGAAUGAGUACAAUUUAAAAAACUUAACAAGGAUCAAGUGGAGGGCAAGUCUGGUGCCAGCAGCCGCGGUAAUUCCAGCUCCAAUAGCGUAUGCUUAAGUUGUUGCAGUUGAAAAGCUCGUAGUUGGAUUUUUGGGUCGACGCGCCUGGUCCGCCCCGUCAAGGUGUGUGAGUACCGGUGUGCGUCUGUCAUCCUUCCGCAGAGCGUGCCUACCCUUCACUGGGCCGGGUACGCGAUGUGGAUCGUUUACUUUGAAAAAAUUAGAGUGUUUAAAGCAAGCGUCGCUUUGAACAUAUUAGCAUGGAAUAAUAAUAUAGGACUUUGGUUCUAUUUUGUUGGUUUCUAGAACUGAAGUAAUGAUUGAUAGGGACAGUUGGGGGUGCUAGUAUUCAGCGGCCAGAGGUGAAAUUCUUGGAUUCGCUGAAGACUAACUUAUGCGAAAGCAUUCACCAAGGAUGUCUUCUUUAAUCAAGAACGAAAGUUGGGGGAUCGAAGAGGAUCAGAUACCCUCGUAGUCUCAACCAUAAACUAUGCCGACUAGGGAUUGGUGGACGUUUUUACGACUUCAUCAGCACCUUAUGAGAAAUCAAAGUCUUUGGGUUCCGGGGGGAGUAUGGUCGCAAGGCUGAAACUUAAAGGAAUUGACGGAAGGGCACCACCAGGAGUGGAGCCUGCGGCUUAAUUUGACCCAACAGGGGGAAACUUACCAGGUCCGGACAUAGUGAGGAUUGACAGAUUGAAGAUCUUCUUGAUUCUGUGGGUGGUGGUGC
rnacentral:rRNA from 1 species